rnacentral:ncRNA from 1 species
GACAAAGGCAAACUGUUCGAAAGGACAGGACGCAAAGCCAUGGGUCUAAGUCCCUAAGGGAUAUGAUUGCCAGGCUGCCG